AGCUAAACGAUCAAGGGAAUGACAGUUGGCGCAGUGCUUGUAUUUUUGGGCCUCCUUGGACCGUCGAUGGGAUACAAACCUGAGGGAACGCUUCUUCAUCAAUGCAAAGACAAGGAUAGAGGAGUGAUACCAUCUGGGUAUAGCGAGAAGACGGUGACAGAAAUAAAGACGGAAUGCAUUUACUGGUGCAAAUCAAGUGCUAAUGAUGAAAUGUGGUAUUAUGGACACAUAUCUGAUGGCGCACAGUGCAAAAAACGCAAAAGGCCGGGACGAUGCAGACAGGGCUAUUGCAUUGCCGGCCAACAUUCGAGCAGGGGACCAGAUGAUGACGACGAUCAUCAGGUCACGACGCC